UACGUAGGGUGCGAGCGUUAAUCGGAUUUACUGGGCGUAAAGCGUGCGGAGGCGGCCCGUUAAGACAGGUGUGAAAUCCCUGGGCUCAACCUAGGAAUUGCGCUUGUGACUGGCGGGCUCGAGUACGGUAGAGGGGGGUGGAAUUCCUGGUGUAGCAGUGAAAUGCGUAGAGAUCAGGAGGAACACCGAUGGCGAAGGCAGCCCCCUGGGCCUGUACUGACGCUCAUGCACGAAAGCGUGGGGAGCAAACAGG
rnacentral:rRNA from 1 species